CCUACGGGGGGCUGCAGUGGGGAAUAUUGGACAAUGGGGGCAACCCUGAUCCAGCCAUGCCGCGUGUGUGAAGAAGGCCUUUUGGUUGUAAAGCACUUUAAGCAGUGAAGAAGACUCCAUGGUUAAUACCCAUGGACGAUGACAUUAGCUGCAGAAUAAGCACCGGCUAACUCUGUGCCAGCAGCCGCGGUAAUACAGAGGGUGCAAGCGUUAAUCGGAAUUACUGGGCGUAAAGCGAGCGUAGGUGGCUUGAUAAGUCAGAUGUGAAAUCCCCGGGCUUAACCUGGGAACUGCAUCUGAUACUGUUAGGCUAGAAUAGGUGAGAGGAAGGUAGAAUUCCAGGUGUAGCGGUGAAAUGCGUAGAGAUCUGGAGGAAUACCGAUGGCGAAGGCAGCCUUCUGGCAUCAUAUUGACACUGAGGUUCGAAAGCGUGGGUAGCAAACAGGAUUAGAUACCCCUGUAGUC
rnacentral:rRNA from 1 species